GAUGAACGCUGGCGGCGUGCUUAACACAUGCAAGUCGAACGAAGCAUUUAGAACAGAUUACUUCGGUUUGAAGUUCUUUAUGACUGAGUGGCGGACGGGUGAGUAACGCGUGGGUAACCUGCCUUGUACUGGGGGAUAGCAGCUGGAAACGGCUGGUAAUACCGCAUAAGCGCACAAUGUUGCAUGACAUGGUGUGAAAAACUCCGGUGGUAUAAGAUGGACCCGCGUCUGCUUAGCUAGUUGGUGAGAUAACAGCCCACCAAGGCGACGAUCAGUAGCCGAUCUGAGAGGGUGACCGGCCACAUUGGGACUGAGACACGGCCCAGACUCCUACGGGAGGCAGCAGUGGGGAAUAUUGCACAAUGGAGGAAAGUCUGAUGCAGCGACGCCGCGUGAGUGAAGAAGUAAUUCGUUAUGUAAAGCUCUAUCAGCAGGGAAGAUAGUGACGGUACCUGACUAAGAAGCCCCGGCUAAAUACGUG
rnacentral:rRNA from 1 species